GUAUGUACAUGUCUACAACAUUAAUGCACAGGAUCCCAUUAAAACUCUACGAUUAAGUAUUCUUGGGCUAGAGUAGUAUUGGGAUGGGUGAUCACCCAAGAAGUCCUAGUGUUUUACAUGCC
rfam:Picea glauca, whole genome shotgun sequence.